rnacentral:rRNA from 1 species
AGUGAACGCUGGCGGCAGGCCUAACACAUGCAAGUCGAACGGCAACACAGUACGUGUUUGCUCUUCCGGGUGGCGAGUCGGGGGCGUGAGAGGUGUAUAUCGGACUCUACUUUUUCGGGGGGGAUCACGUAGGUAAGGUUACUACAAUACCGGAUAUGCCCUAGGGGGGAGAGGGGGGGAUCUUCGCGCCUUGCGGGGAUGAAUUAGCCGAUGUCGGACUUGCUAGUUGGCGGGGUAAAGGCCCAGCAUGUCGACGAUCCGUAGCUGGUCUGAGAGGAUGAUCAGCCACACUGGAACUGAGACACGGUCCAGACUCCUACGGGAGGCAGCAGUGGGGAAUAUUGGACAAUGGGCGCAAGCCUGAUCCAGCCAUACCGCGUGGGUGAAGAAGGCCUUCGGGUUGUAAAGCCCGUUUGUUGGGAAAGAACAGCAGCAGGUUAAUACCCCGCUGUUCUGACGGUACCCGAAGAAGAAGCACCGGCUAACUUCGUG